GACGAACGCUGGCGGCGUGCUUAACACAUGCAAGUCGAGCGGUAAGGCCCUUUCGGGGGUACGACGAGCGGCGAACGGGUAGGAGUAACAACGUGGGUGGACCUCGCCCUCCAGCUCUGGGAGUAAGACCUCGGGAAACCGGGGUACUAAUAACUGGAUAUGACUCCAUGACGCAUGUUGUGGGGUGGGAAAGACCUUGUGCGGCUGAGGAUGGGCCCGCCGGCC
rnacentral:rRNA from 1 species